GACUGGAUAGCCUAGUGGUCAAAGGCAGCACUUCUAGCACGGUGUCUCAGCUUAUGGUGAGGUUCCAGGUUUGAAUCCUGGUCUAGUCA
rnacentral:tRNA from 1 species